AAUGAUAGAGGUGCGGGUUUCAAGAGUAGCCACGGGCAAAAGGCAUUGGCAGCCGCCUGUGGUGAAAGGGGAAGCUGCCGAAGGGUUCUGACAGCCAGGAGGGAGAACCCUGGGACGAUGCAGAAGAUGCGUCGGACUGUCACGAAUGUGGAGCGCUAUCA
rnacentral:ncRNA from 1 species